rnacentral:ncRNA from 1 species
CUCAGGUGAGGCGGCGCUGGUUCCUGUCAUAUGGCAGGCGAAGAGGGAAUGCGACAGGCUUUGCGACCGAUCGCGGUUCGGGGCCGAAGCGCAGCCGCCCCCGCGACCGUGACCGGAGAGGUCCCCCGUGUCCCACUGGCAGAGGCCGGGAAGGGGGUGGGGCCGGCGGAGCGAAGCUCCGACAUCCGCAAGCCGGGAGACCUGCCAGCGCUGGAUGUGUGACG